AUGCUUCCGCUUAACGAUCUAUCAGGCAGCCGGCGGCGGGGUGGAGGCGCCGUCCUGGGGAAGCAACCAAGUCAUGUCCUUCUUCGGGGUCCCCUACUUCAGCCUUUUCAAAGGGGUGCCCCAGACCUCGUGGCAAUCCUGGUGGAGCGCAGUGACCCCUCGACCAGGCGCUCGUCGGUGUUGUCAUCAUUAGAGAAGGCGCGGAGGAGCUCACUCUGCCACAGGGGAGAGGUCUCCCCCACCCCCUCCAAGGUCCCCUCCAAGUCCUCAUUCCCCUCCUGCCCGGAGAGAUCACCGGAGGACACCGGCACUCGGGAGCUCAGGAGCUGGCAAGGCUUCAGCAGUACGAGCCCCCGCUCGUUGAAGACGGGCAUGGCGGCGGUCACCUUCUCCCCAUCGUCAUGGCGGUACAAUGGGAGAUGGGCUUUUGGGGGCCGCCCUGGUCCUUCUCGAGCAAGGUGCGCACGGCCUUUCUCAGCUCCUUGUUAG
rnacentral:rRNA from 1 species